rnacentral:lncRNA from 12 species
AUGACCCAAAAUGGGAAAACACAAGAUGCCUCAAAUGCACUGAACCUAACUGAGAUAACGAGGACCUGGAUCUCAGACCUGAACCUCCAACUGAGCAUGAUGAGGACGGCAAGUCCUAUGCAGAAACUAGAGGAAAAGGGGGAGAGUGUUGUGAAAAGAAGCAUUUUGGAAAAUUAUCCAGAAGGGGUCAACAAGGUAAAUGAAGGACCGUGGAAACCAAUUAGGAGGAUACUGCAGAAAUGAGACACCAAGGAGCAAGAGCCAAGUGUCAGAACCCAGUGAACAAUGUGGUUCUCCAAAAGCAGGAAUGCUGAGGACUACUGGAUGUCAAUGCUGCAAAGCCUUCUUUCUGCCCCACCCUCCCAAUUACACAAAAGUACAACCUCCUGUUUGUUAGAAUUGUCUUCCUCCACUCCUGAACACAAGCCCCUUUCCUCCUUGAGGGAUGCAGGCUUGAUUGUGUGCGUUUGUCAACAUAUUCAUCAAUGAAAUGUUUAUAAGUUCUCUACAAAUAUUAUCUGGUCAAUUCUGAAAAUACUUCAGAUGGGUUUUCAUCUGAGCAUGCUUUAUAAGGGUUCUUCUAUGAUCCAAAGCAAUUUUCAGACAUCCUCAUCACUGAUCAAAUCUGGGGUAAAUUUCCAGUCUAUUCCAUCACACAUUUACAGUCUAUAGGUUAGGCCUGAUUUUCACAGUAUGGGGGAAGAUUGUACACAAUUGAGCCACUUUGGAAAGCUUUUAUAGUUUUUUUUUUUUUUUUUGUACCAAAACAGGAGGUCACUGUUAGCGAAUGACUUUUAUCAAUGGCAUUCUCGCUUCUCUGUUACCACAACAGGACCCUACAUAUUUUUUCAAUAAUAGUUUUUUUCAUAAUUUGUUGUAUAAGUUUUUUUGGUAUAAAUAAUAUUGUAAACUUCUUGAAAAUAGUGACUUCUUUAAUUUUUAUUUCCAUAAUGCUUAAUGCACAGGAGACACGUAAAUUCUUAUUGAAGGGUUAGAUGAAAACCAAAACAGCAUAGAAACCCCAAGUAAGAGCCACAUGACAUGAAACUACAAGUCUUCCCAAAUCAAAACAAACUUAUCUAUGGUUCUCUCAUGUACUUCACUGUGCCAACUUUAUUGUAAAGCCUAUCUGUUUUAAGAAUGACUAUAAUUGCAUUUUCUGUUCUCAAAAGAUUUUCUCAUUACUUACAAGAAGCUGCCCUAAGCUUCUCAGCACACUGUGAAUUAUCUUUGUUUAGUCCUCUGGCAUCUUCUUGAGGAUCCCUCCUUUGAGGAACAAUUGCUAGUAGUUCUAAACUGGAGAGAUGAUUAAAAACAACAACAACACCCGGCUGAAGUAUAAAAUAAUUGAUGGGAUGACUACCUCCAAGAUUGGUUGUGAUGGGGAGGGGAGAAAGCUGGAAUUUUUAGAAAACUUAAUUGUAUUCUUUUACAAGAUUUAGCAAGCUGACAAAUGGCAUCAUUAUAGCAGAGUGUUGCAUUGAGCUCCAUUCACCCUUUAGAGCUGGCUAAGAGCCCUCUGUAGACAAUGGGCUGCAUAUAAGAAAUGCACAGAUGAGUUUAAUCAUAGGAGCUGCAUCUGGCCCAAGCAGAAAUCUCUUUCACAGUAAUUGGCAUAUAGUUAGGACUGGAGCAGCAGAUGUUGCUUUGCAGUUUGAAGAAUCUGAUCUACAAUCCAUUGAAAACAUGAGCCUUAACUGCAAUGGUUGGACCUUCAGUACAUGACCCAUUCAAAUAGAUUCUGAAGUUCUGGUCCUCUUUCAGGUUAGCCCACAUAUCUCUAGCAAGACAGGAAUCUGUGGUAAUGUGUUGCUCUUGGCCUUCAGGGCUUUUCAACAAAACAAAUUUGACAGACAAAGCUUACUUCUAUGUAAAUGUGGGUAGGGCAAGGGAGAUGUGGCUGGAUUAUCCCCUCUUCAUCUCUGAAUGAAUAAAAACUGAGUUCAGACAAAAAUAACA